UACGGAGGGGGCCAGCGUUGUUCGGAAUCAUUGGGCGUAAAGGGCGCGUAGGCGGCCAAGUUAGUCAGCUGUGAAAUCCCUCGGCUCAACCGAGGAACUGCGGCUGAUACUGCAUGGCUUGAGUCCCGGAGAGGGUAGCGGAAUUCCCAGUGUAGCGGUGAAAUGCGUAGAUAUUGGGAGGAACAUCGGUGGCGAAGGCGGCUACCUGGACGGGUACUGACGCUGAGGCGCGAAAGCUAGGGGAGCAAACGGG
rnacentral:rRNA from 1 species